AUUGAACGCUGGCGGCAGGUCUAACACAUGCAAGUCGAACGAGUGGCGGACGUGUGAGUCAUGUCUGGGAACCUGCCCGAUGGGGGGGGAUAACUACGGGAACGGUUAGCUAAUACCCCAUACCAUCGGAUUUGCCCGGAUGGGCUUAGCUAGUGGGUGGGGUAAAGGCUCACCUAGGCGACGAUCCCUAGCUGGUCUGAGCGGAUGACCAGCCAAACGGGAACGGAGACACGGUCCAGACUCCUACGGGAGGAAGCAGUGGGGAAUAUUGCACAAUGGGCGCAAGCCUGAUGCAGCCAUGCCGCGUGUAUGAAGAAGGCCUUCGGGUUGUAAAGUACUUUCAGCGGGGAGGCGUUACCCGCAGAAGAAGCACCGGCUAACUCCGUGCCAGCAGCCGCGGUAAUUC
rnacentral:rRNA from 1 species